CCCACCGCAUGGGGGCCGGUCCGCCCCCCUGUUUGCAUGCCAACGGAACCGGCCAGCAAUCGGGCUCAGUUCCACGGUGCUUGCCUCCCCCGAUCUGCACCAUAGAAAGGAAGAGGAGAAGCAAGUCGCCCGGUUUCUCGCCCGGUUCCCCCGCCUUGACGUCGUCCCCGUGCGGCGGGAAAAGCGCGGCGCUUCUCUCCGGAGGCCGGCGGUCCUCAGCAGAUUUGUGAAGACAUUGCAAGAUGGAGCAAAGAUGCAAAGACAUUAAUUAUCUGUCUUAGGGCAAAUACCCAGAAUCAACGAUUAAGCCUCAGGAGAUACACGGAAAGCUUUGAAAUAAAGGACUGAUGGCGGGAGCUGCCAUGCAAGGCGCUAACCACGGCCCAUCAGGAGCAAGGGUGAAGUGUCUCGCUCAAGGACACAACGGACGUGACGAGUUUGGUAGAAGGUGGGGAUUGAACCAGGAACCCUCGGGUUGCUGGCACGGCCACUCUCCCAACCGCGCCACGCCGUACCCAGGAUACCCGCAAUGUACACACCUGACCACAGAGUGGCGCUGUCUCAAAGUAAAAAUUUAAAAACAUCGAAUUACUGUAUACUGGAGGCGUAACACGUCUUUUAAAUAAUGAAUUAAUUGUAUUUUGUUACAAUAUGUCCAGUGCCAAAUGACCUUUGGGCCCAAAAUAGCCCACUAAUAA